rnacentral:rRNA from 1 species
AACGAACGCUGGCGGCGUGGUUAAGACAUGCAAGUCGAACGGUGUUUCAAAUGUAGCAAUACAUUUGAAACGCAGUGGCGAACGGGUGCGUAACACGUGAACAAUUUACCUUUUAGUGUGGAAUAGCUCGACGAAAGUCGGAUUAAUACCGCAUGUGGUUGUCUCUCGCCUGAGAGGCAUACUAAAGCCGGGGACCGCAAGGCCUGGCGCUAUUAGAGGAGUUCGCGGCCUAUCAGCUAGUUGGCGAGGUAACGGCUC